rnacentral:lncRNA from 1 species
AAUAAUCGGAAAAAUGUAUUUUAUUUUAUUUUAUAGAAGUAUUUCAUAUAGGGCAAAAAUCACGUGCUCACAGCUGCCCCUCUCUGCUCGAAAACACGAAGGAUUUUCGGGCCAAGAUAAAGUGAGGGGAUACAAGCGAUUUUUGCCCAUUUGAAUACUCCGUGGGAAGCAUUUUUGAAAGAUCUGACCGAACCUUGCUUCCGAGGUUGCCUACAUAUCCUUGACUAUAAAGGAAUCAGGUUAGUGUAGUUCGGGAAGUUUUGAUAGCUGGGACUACCGAAAAACUAUGAUUUCACUGUUGUUACUCCUGUUUCCGCUUGCUGAGCUCCUUAUUACACCAAAAUUUAAAAUAAAAAGAUAAACUAGCUAAACCUAUCAACUAUGAGUUACAAGAUUCCUAUAUAUAACCUUCUAAGGCUUGAUUUUGAGUCCUGGUUGGUUCUUCCUGCAGACUCUGAUCUGAAUCUUGAUGCUCGUAAGCUGCAACCGCUGGUUCAUUCUUCUUUAGCUUUUUGGAUCAAGGGGGGACAUGCAAAGCUUGCGACUUCAAUCAUAUCUUGAGCAGUCCGCAUCUUUCCUCCGCUUCUACACUUAGAGUUCAACUUCUUUUCUUUUAUUUGGGUUGAGACUUCUUCUUUUGGUCAUCUCAAACCGUGUGCCUCACGGUGAAAACUUGUUCAGGCAACAAAGCAAACAAACGAACAAAGUUUUUCUGCCCCAGUUUUCACUAGGAAAAUUUCGUGAAUUAUUGUAACAAAAUCUAAACUAUUUCUUUAUUGAAGGCAAUUAAAAUCGGGAUUAUGUAUCCCUGAGAGAAAGAGAUUAGGGAGUGGAGACCCUAUAUCUAAAAUGAAAUUAAAUGAGGAUCGGAGGUCCCAAGUUGGGAAGAUUACCGGGUUAUGCUGGAAAAAUGACCACGUUAUGUCGGGAAGGUCCUCAGGUUAUGCCGGGGAAGGUCAUCAGGUUAUGCCGGAAAAGAAAAGGGUCCUCGAGUUAUGCCGGGGAGGUCCACGGGUUAUGCCGGAGUAGGUCAUUGGGUUAUGCUGGAAAAGAAAAAGGUUCUCGGAUUACGCCGGGGAGGUCCACGGGUUAUGCCGGGAAAGUCAUCGGGUUAUGCCGGAAAGAAAAAAUGUCCUCGGGUUAUGCCGGGGAGGUCCACGGGUUAUGCCAGGAGGUCCUUGGGCUAUGCCGGGAAAGAAAAAAGGUCCUUGGGUUAUGCCGGGGAGGUCCACAGGUUAUGCCGGGAAAGGUCCUCGGGUUAUAAAGGUCCUCGGGUUAUGCCAGGAAA